AAGACGUGGCAGGCAGGCCUAACACAUGCAGUCGAACGAAGCCUUCGGGCUUAGUGGCGGACGGGUGAGUAACGCGUGGGAACGUGCCCUUCUCUACGGAAUAGUCCCGGGAAACUGGGUUUAAUACCGUAUACGCCCUUCGGGGGAAAGAAUUUCGGGGAAGGAUCGGCCCGCGUUGGAUUAGGUAGUUGGUGGGGUAAUGGCCUACCAAGCCGACGAUCCAUAGCUGGUUUGAGAGGAUGAUCAGCCACACUGGGACUGAGACACGGCCCAGACUCCUACGGGAGGCAGCAGUGGGGAAUCUUAGACAAUGGGGGCAACCCUGAUCUAGCCAUGCCGCGUGAGUGACGAAGGCCCUAGGGUCGUAAAGCUCUUUCGCCAGGGAUGAUAAUGACAGUACCUGGUAAAGAAACCCCGGCUAACUCCGUGCCAGCAGCCGCGGUAAUACGGAGGGGGUUAGCGUUGUUCGGAAUUACUGGGCGUAAAGCGCGCGUAGGCGGACUAUUAAGUCAGAGGUGAAAUCCCGGGGCUCAACCCCGGAACUGCCUUUGAUACUGGUAGUCUUGAGUUCGAGAGAGGUGAGUGGAAUUCCGAGUGUAGAGGUGAAAUUCGUAGAUAUUCGGAGGAACACCACUGACGAAGGCGGCUCACUGGCUCGAUACUGACGCUGAGGUGCGAAAGCGUGUCAGCAAACCUGAUUAUAUACCCUGGGAGUCGACACUGCAACGAUGAAUGCCAAACGUCAGGAGGCUUGCCUCUUCGCUGUCACACCUAACCGGAUUAAGCGUUCCGACUGUGAAGCACGGUUGCAAGAGUAAAACUCGAAUGAAAUGACGG
rnacentral:rRNA from 1 species